rnacentral:rRNA from 1 species
CCCAGACUCCUACGGGAGGCAGCAGUGGGGAAUAUUGCACAAUGGGGGAAACCCUGAUGCAGCGACGCCGCGUGAGUGAGGAAGUAUUUCGGUAUGUAAAGCUCUAUCAGCAGGGAAGAAAAAAUGACGGUACCUGACUAAGAAGCACCGGCUAAAUACGUGCCAGCAGCCGCGGUAAUACGUAUGGUGCAAGCGUUAUCCGGAUUUACUGGGUGUAAAGGGAGCGCAGGCGGUACGGCAAGUCUGAUGUGAAAGCCCGGGGCUCAACCCCGGUACUGCAUUGGAAACUACCGGACUGGAGUGUCGGAGGGGUAAGUGGAAUUCCUAGUGUAGCGGUGAAAUGCGUAGAUAUUAGGAGGAACACCAGUGGCGAAGGCGGCUUACUGGACGAUCACUGACGCUGAGGCUCGAAAGCGUGGGGAGCAAACAGGAUUAGAUACCCUAGUA